rnacentral:rRNA from 1 species
GACGUAGGAGGCGAGCGUUGUCCGGAUUCAUUGGGCGUAAAGAGCGCGUAGGCGGCCAGAUAAGUCCGGUGUGAAAGUCAAAGGCUCAACCUUUGAAUGCCGCUGGAAACUGUCUGGCUAGAGUCCGGGAGGGGCGAGCGGAAUUCCUGGUGUAGCGGUGAAAUGCGCAGAUAUCAGGAGGAACACCAAUGGCGAAGGCAGCUCGCUGGAACGGUACUGACGCUGAGGCGCGAAAGCGUGGGGAGCAAACAGG